GAAAUUUGAGAGGAGCUGUCCUUAGUACGAGAGGACCGGGAUGGACAUACCUCUGGUGUACCAGUUGUCGUGCCAACGGCAUAGCUGGGUAGCUAUGUGUGGACGGGAUAAGUGCUGAAAGCAUCUAAGCAUGAAGCCCCCCUCAAGAUGAGAUUUCCCAACUUCGGUUAUAAGAUCCCUCAAAGAUGAUGAGGUUAAUAGGUUCGAGGUGGAAGCAUGGUGACAUGUGGAGCUGACGAAUACUAAUCGAUCGAAGACUUAAUCAAAA
rnacentral:rRNA from 1 species